CAGGCCUAACACAUGCAAGUCGAACGGUAGCACAGAGAGCUUGCUCUCGGGUGACGAGUGGCGGACGGGUGAGUAAUGUCUGGGAAACUGCCUGAUGGAGGGGGAUAACUACUGGAAACGGUAGCUAAUACCGCAUAACGUCGCAAGACCAAAGAGGGGGACCUUCGGGCCUCUUGCCAUCAGAUGUGCCCAGAUGGGAUUAGCUAGUAGGUGGGGUAAUGGCUCACCUAGGCGACGAUCCCUAGCUGGUCUGAGAGGAUGACCAGCCACACUGGAACUGAGACACGGUCCAGACUCCUACGGGAGGCAGCAGUGGGGAAUAUUGCACAAUGGGCGCAAGCCUGAUGCAGCCAUGCCGCGUGUAUGAAGAAGGCCUUCGGGUUGUAAAGUACUUUCAGCGGGGAGGAAGGUGUUG
rnacentral:rRNA from 1 species